UACGAGGGGGGCGAGCGUUGUUCGGAAUUAUUGGGCGUAAAGGGCUCGUAGGCGGUCUGUCGCGUCGGGAGUGAAAACUCAGGGCUUAACCCUGAGCCUGCUUCCGAUACGGGCAGACUAGAGGUAUGCAGGGGGAGAACGGAAUUCCUGGUGUAGCGGUGGAAUGCGCAGGAUAUCAGGAGGAACACCGGUGGCGAAGGCGGUUCUCUGGGCAUUACCUGACGCUGAGGAGCGAAAGUGUGGGGAGCGAACAGG
rnacentral:rRNA from 1 species